rnacentral:rRNA from 1 species
CUACGGAAGGCAGCAGUGAGGAAUUUUGCGCAAUGGGCGAAAGCCUGACGCAGCAACGCCGCGUGAGUGAUGAAGGCCUUCGGGUCGUAAAGCUCUGUCAGAGGGGAAGAACCGCCGGGUGGCUAAUACCUGCCUGGUCUGACGGUACCCUCAAAGGAAGCACCGGCUAACUCCGUGCCAGCAGCCGCGGUAAUACGGAGGGUGCAAGCGUUGUUCGGAAUUAUUGGGCGUAAAGCGCGUGUAGGCGGUUUGUUAAGUCUGGUGUGAAAGCCCUGGGCUCAACCUGGGAAGUGCAUUGGAUACUGGCAAACUUGAGUACGGGAGAGGAUAGUGGAAUUUCGAGUGUAGGGGUGAAAUCCGUAGAUAUUCGAAGGAACACCGGUGGCGAAGGCGGCUAUCUGGACCGAUACUGACGCUGAGACGCGAAAGCGUGGGGAGCAAACAGGAUUAGAUACCCCGGUAGU